CGCUUCCAGCUUGGCAUUUUUUUUCGUUAACAUCGCAUUCUCCUCCUCCAAAAUCUUAUUCCGAUCUUCUAGUUUAUUUACAGCUCGCUUCAAUUUAUUCAAUAAGGAGCUGAUUUUAUUGCUACUUUCACCGGCAGCAGCUGUUGCCACGGGGGCCGCUGCCUGUACCACCUUUGAGAAAAAUGUACCAAAGGACAAUAUCACAAUUUAACAAAAAAAUUCAAACCAAAUAAUAUUUUCUACUAACUAAAUUCAGCAAUGCCUGCUCCGGCAGGCUACCACGUAACGUACGGUUCAAAUUGAAAUAUCAUCA
rnacentral:lncRNA from 1 species